rnacentral:lncRNA from 1 species
GGGGCUUUGUGUAAUUAAACCUAAAUGCUGUUUUACCCCCACAGAGCUCCGAUGAGGCCUGCCUCAUCCAUCACCUUUCUCCUGAUAUUAGGCCUACCUCGUGGUUUCAAAAUGGCUGCCAUGCUGUAAGAACAGGAAAGAAAGCCCUGUUUCUAAAGUGAAACAGAAUUCAGUACAAGCAAUUUUGUCCCAAAAGGGUUUGGGGAACUGAUUCAGUGGAUAACGGGCUUGCUGUGCAAACAUGAAGAUCUGAACUUGGAUCCUGAGC